rnacentral:rRNA from 1 species
GACGAACGCUGGCGGCGUGCUUAACACAUGCAAGUCGAACGGAAAGGCCCUGCUUUUGUGGGGUGCUCGAGUGGCGAACGGGUGAGUAACACGUGAGUAACCUGCCCUUGACUUUGGGAUAACUUCAGGAAACUGGGGCUAAUACCGGAUAGGAGCUCCUGCUGCAUGGUGGGGGUUGGAAAGUUUCGGCGGUUGAGGAUGGACUCGCGGCUUAUCAGCUUGUUGGUGGGGUAGUGGCUUACCAAGGCUUUGACGGGUAGCCGGCCUGAGAGGGUGACCGGCCACAUUGGGACUGAGAUACGGCCCAGACUCCUACGGGAGGCAGCAGUGGGGAAUAUUGCACAAUGGGCGGGAGCCUGAUGCAGCAACGCCGCGUGCGGGAUGACGGCCUUCGGGUUGUAAACCGCUUUCGCCUGUGACGAAGCGUGAGUGACGGUAAUGGGUAAAGAAGCACCGGCUAACUACGUG